GUAAGAGAAUGUAGGCGGGUUGAUAAGUUUGAAGUGAAAUCCAAUGGACAACCAUUGAACUGCUUUGAAAACUAUUAACCUAGAAUAUGGGAGAGGUAGAUGGAAUUUCUGGUGUAGGGGUAAAAUCCGUAGAGAUCAGAAGGAAUACCGAUUGCGAAGGCGAUCUACUGGAACAUUAUUGACGCUCAGAUUCGAAAGCGUGGGGAGCAAACAGGAUUAGAUACCCUGGUAGUCCACGCCCUAAACGAUGCACACUAGUUGUUGCCAUGCUAGACAUGGCAGUAAUGCAGUUAACACAUUAAGUGUGCCGCCUGGGGAGUACGGUCGCAAGAUUAAAACUCAAAGGAAUAGACGGGGACCCGCACAAGCGGUGGAGCAUGUGGUUUAAUUCGACGAUACGCGAAGAACCUUACCUGGCCUUGACAUAGACAGAACAUAACAGAGAUGUAUUGGUGCUAGUUUACUAGAGCUGUCAUACAGGUGCUGCACGGCUGUCGUCAGCUCGUGUCGUGAGAUGUUGGGUUAAGUCCCGCAACGAGCGCAACCCUCGUGUUUAGUUACUAACAGUUCGGCUGAGGACUCUAGACAGACUGCCUGGGUAACCAGGAGGAAGGUGAGGACGACGUCAAGUCAUCAUGGCCCUUACGGCCAGGGCUACACACGUGCUACAAUGGGGGAUACAAAGAGCUGCAAUACCGCGAGGUGGAGCAAAUCUCAAAAAUCUCUCCCAGUUCGGAUUGUUCUCUGCAACUCGAGAACAUGAAGUUGGAAUCGCUAGUAAUCGUAGAUCAGCAAUGCUACGGUGAAUACGUU
rnacentral:rRNA from 1 species